CACGUAGGCACCAAGCGUUGUCCGGAUUUAUUGGGCGUAAAGAGCUCGUAGGCGGUUGAGUAAGUCGGGUGUGAAAACUCUGGGCUUAACCCAGAGCCGCCACUCGAUACUGCCCUGACUUGAGUUCGGUAGGGGAGCAGGGAAUUCCUAGUGUAGCGGUGAAAUGACGCAGAUAUUAGGAGGAACACCGGUGGCGAAGGCGCUGCUCUGGGCCCGAAACUGGACGCUGAGGAGCGGAAAGCGUGGGUAGCAAACGAGGAAUUGA
rnacentral:rRNA from 1 species